GACGUAGGGCGCGAGCGUUGUCCGGAUUUAUUGGGCGUAAAGAGCUCGUAGGCGGCUUGUCGCGUCGUCCGUGAAAACCUGCGGCUCAACUGCAGGCUGGCGGUCGAUACGGGCAGGCUGGAGUUCGGUAGGGGAGACUGGAAUUCCUGGUGUAGCGGUGAAAUGCGCAGAUAUCUGGAGGAACACCGGUGGCGAAGGCGGCGUUCUGGACUGCAACUGACACUGAAAAACGAAAGCCAGGGGAGCAAACGGG
rnacentral:rRNA from 1 species